rnacentral:lncRNA from 1 species
GGUCCCUGAUUUUAUCACUUCCGUUGACGAGUCUUGUGUCAGCAUCUUGAUGCGAGGUACAACUUCUAGGUGAUCUUCUUCAUGUUUUACGUUGUUGUACUUUUUGCUGCAAUGUGGACGUACAUAUUCUAGCAGAUAUAUCUUCAUGCUUUACCUUGUUUACCACUGCCCUGAUGUGGAGGUACAGAUUCUAGCUGAUAUAUAUCGUCAUGUUUUACCUUUUACCAACAUCCAAGAUUUUUGUUUCCUCAUUUCUUUCAAUUAGAUAGAAGAUGGGACGUGCUUUGUUGUAGUUUCCUCUUACUUUGACUAAGUAGGACAUUUUUUUGAAAUACCAAAUUGUGGUGUCGCUACCCCUACGCACCACGGUUUUGCAGCACCCUCAGCUAAAGUAAACCAUUCCAAGCCUACCAUACUCGAAACAUGGAAGCAUGCAAACUUCAGAGCAUCUUGGUGUCGCUGGCCACCCGAUCUCUACAACCACCACAAAAUGCUACAGGACCAACCAGGCCGGUGUCCUGACCACUGAAUCAUGUCACUGUGUGGGCGCCUAGAUCUCCCAUGUGUCUGUCUAAAGCCUGAGGGGCCAACCUCGCUCGAGCGUCGCCAGCCAGCACUCAUCUGCACAUGAACAAAUGGUUGGAUAUAUGUGCCUCCUCCGUCUCUUAUUCCCCGAAACAUAAUUUGAUGAGUAGAGUUUCUAAUCAUUUAUGGCACACUGGCAUAUGAUUAAACUGCACAAGUUAGAUUGACAUUUUGUGGAGAACGGUCGUCGGUUGGGAGCCUCGCCGUCUACCUCCACCAGCCGGCCCACACACCAUUGCUCCCCGCGUGUCGCGCCCCUCCCCGAACCAUCAUGCCUUCUAAUUAGUGUACGUGGUAGUCUGGUAAAAGUGGAGAAUAAUUCGGGUAAUGUCUAUGGAUGUACUACCAGUAUUGCGGCUAACCUGCCUGGCAGUGAGAUGCAUCUAGAUUAGAUCUGAUUACUGAUAUAGAAGAUGCAAUUAAUUAUCUAAAAUUUUCCUUGUACCAUUUUCCAUGAGAUUAAUGUAAUUGGGAAUACCAGUGCUUGUUUGAAUCAUUUAGUUAAAUAAUUUUAUAGAUAAAACUUGUAUUUGUAUGUUUUGGAAUUACUAUUAUCCUGGUAAAAUGACCACAAGUGAAAGGGUUGUAAAGAUUAAUUAUUCUUUGUGGAAGCAUUACUGGUCUAAUUAAUAGAUGUACAUGCAUCAAUAAUGUUGUUGAGCUUUAGUUGAUUCUAUAGUGUUGUACUAUUCGCAAAGUUCUAUUUUGAGAAAAAAAUGGCAAAUUCAAUAUUGUGCCAGCUAAAUGGCGCACCCGCUGUAGCAAGUGAGUUCCCAUCAAAAUCACCCUGAGCAUAUUUUUGCUGAUUUUCAUGAUUGCUCUUCUGCCAGGAACAAUGUUCCUGGCACUUCGACCACACAACUGUAUGUUCAUGUUCCAGUGUCCUUAUUCAUAGUUAAUUUCAAUCACAAAGUGACAAAUGUCAGUCUAUUAGUUAACAUGUGUAUCUCCGUUUCUUCUAAGUUUCAAUCGACCUACUCUGAAGUUGUUCCUAAGAUAGUGCCUCAAGCAAAGGGAAUGAGCCUCAGUUAGUGCAUCUAGCAAGUUCGUGAUCCUUUGUUGGGAUAAACAUUUGUGCAAGAGCAAUAGUCUCGUCACUAUUGGUUGUUAGUACUGUUGCUUGUUAAUUCUACUUUUUACUUCAGUUCGUAAUGCAAUAUAGUUAUGCUUGACGCACUAUAAGAAGACUGCCAUUUUGCCUUUUGACCUUGGUUUCUUCCUCCAGUAAGUAAAUGCACAUAGUUCUUUUGUAAAUUAGAGCAUACGACUUGUUGAUCGAUCUCUGAGCUCAGUAAUAAUAUUAAGCCUCAAUCUGUUUAUUGUGCACACAAGAUGAGAAAGAAUUGCUACCCAAGAAUAUGUACUUUAUAAACAUUUCAACUGUAAUCUGGAAAAAAAUUAAAUAAAUAAGGAAACAGUAUAUUCAUAUAUCUUUUUUGUACUUUGAUGGUGUCACACCACAAGUUCCGAGAUGGUAAUUGUGCUGCAUAUGUCUGCUCUCUUACUUUGUUUUUCUGAACAGGUAGGUUCUGGAAGAUGUCAUGAAGAAUUUCUUUCAGAGAAUUUGCGUGAGGAGUGUCUAAAUGAUUUUUAUCUUCUGAACAUAUUCUUGUAUGACUAACUGAAUUCAUUUUUUCAAAACGUCGGUACUUUUCCUUUUUCAUUUAUGUUGCUCGAUUGAGUCCACAUGCCUGCCCUUACUGAGUUUGCUCAAGAGUAAGAUAAACUUGAUAUUUAUGUUUGUCGGCAGCAGCGUGACUAGCUGAUCUGUAGCGGCGCGGAAGGUGAGCUUGGCUGCAGGUAGCAGCUCCUUUGGCUGAUCUGCGGCGAUGCAGAAGUUGGGUUGGAAAGAAGCACGACCGGCUGCUCUGAAGUGGGACGUAGGGAGAGCUUCGUAAGAGAUAGGGAGGGAGCUCUAUUGGCCCGUGCAUGACAUCCAACCCAAUGGCAUCAUGCCCUGGUAAGCUUCUUAUCUGUUCCAAUUCUUGCACUUGGUCUUUUUCUUUCUAACCCUAAAAAUAGAGUGUGCCUUGAUUCCUAAUCAUGCUUUAAAAGCUGAUAUCCACCUCGUUUAUCUUGCUACUAGUGGUAAUGUGUGCAAGUAUGAUUUUGUGAUAAUGCCAGAUGUUGUGUGCCUUCUUUAUUCAUGGUACGAGUACUCUAACCUGGCUCGUAUGAUAAUGUAUCACUGCUAUAGAGCACAAACGACGUGUUUUUUAAUUAUAUUUUAGUUGACAUGGAUUUCAUUUAUCUUGUGAAUUGUAUAGUCAGAUCAUGAAUUUUUAUGAUUGAUUGAUUUUCAUGGUCACAGGUAGGCAUGGUUGUGUGGCCACGGGGAAAAUGGAGCAAGUAGCAUGUGAGGAGUUUAACAAAUGGGGACAAGGGACAGUUUAGUUAAUUAAGGCUCUAUGUUAGUUUCAAGUUUUAUCCUUGUUGCGGUAAAAAAUUAUGGUUGGAUUAACCACCAUGUACAUCUUUAAUUACUUUUAAAUAAGAAAUAUAAUCAAAAUAUUCUUUUGAAUUGAUAAAAUUUAUAUAAUUUGUACAAGUACAUGAAGGUGGAACAGGAGGAAGGGUGGGAGAAGAUUAGAUAUCGUUUCAUUUUCUUGCAAGGAAAGGAUGGUUACGAAGAAAUGACAAGAAAUGGAGGGACAAUCAGUUUUAUUACUGUAUGGAUGGAAACCACAUGCCAGCUUGUCCAACAUAUUUCUACAUUGAGUCAAUUAUUCAAUCGCUAUAUUUUUUUUAUUCCAUGGCAAUGCAUGGUCAUUCAACUAUUCAAAUUUACGG